AUGAUACAGUUUGUCGAUGAAGACAAACACUUUCAUGCGGUUACAUUCUGCUUGAUUUCCUUUGAGUGUUCAGGAGAAAAUUCCCUAUCGCUGCAAAUCAUACAGAGCUGGGCCAGAAGAUCAUGUCGUUAUACAAAGCUUCAAAGUGUAUGCCUUCGAGAUGAGCUCCAAUGGUACGUUCUAAAUUCUGCUAUCAUCCCUCACACAAAUAUCACAUAUCCAUGCCAGAGGCCCCCAGGUACAGGAAUAUUUUACAUUCCCCAAGCACCUGGGAACGUGGGGCUGAUGAGGAAAGGCCAAUUUAAGUUACUGAAAACUAAAUUGGAGAGCACCUUUAGAGAAAAAUGGAUCUUUAUUCUGUAUAGAUAAUAAGUGCUGUAAAAGUGCAAAGAAGGGGGACAUCAGUAGGUGCUGGAACAAUCAGGGAAGGCUCCCCAGAGGAGCUAAGAACUACCAGAAGGGACUUCCAGUGAUCAUCAGACCCAGAGAUUGGGAAUCUUUUAAGGGGAAAAAGCCAUUUUGGCAUAAUAAUUUUAGGAUGUAACUUUUUUUUGAAGAGCCACAUGAUAGUUUAUAUUUUUUUCUCAAUUAAUACCAGAAAGAUUUUACACAAACUUCAUCUGUACUAGUUUAUACAUUGUUAUUAUUUCAUUUAAUUUAUACAAGUUUAUACAACACAAUAGAAGAUGAAAUAAUUAUUUAUUGUCUUCCAGAAAGCCCUUAUUACAAUACACAUGUGUGGCCCAAGAUCUGGAGGGAGGACCCUGAGAAACUCUCAUAGUCUUCUCCCAUUAGCACAUUAGUGCUCAUAAACAAUGAGUUUAUCAGAUUAGCUAUGUGCCACCUUGAAAGGCAGGGAGGCCUUGAAGGGAUGAGGUAUAGGGCAGAAGGCAGUGGAGGUGAGAGGCGAAAGGGAGGGCAUUUGACAAAUAGGGGCAGCAUGGGAGAAAAAAGGAGGGUUGACAAAUAGGGUCAAAGACUAAGAGGAGGGUGUGUUCUUUGGGCCAUAGGAAGGGGGUUGGAAAGGAGUAUAACAGGUCUAGGGCAGAGUCCAUCUUCCUCCAUGACAAGCAUUUGUUGUUUCUAGACCCAAAGAAGUUUGUUCAUUUAAGAAAUAAAUCAAGACAGAGAUAGACUCA
rnacentral:lncRNA from 1 species